UACGUAGGGGGCAAGCGUUGUCCGGAUUUAUUGGGCGUAAAGAGCGUGUAGGCGGCCAGAUAAGUCCGCUGUGAAAUCUCGAGGCUCAACUUCGAGCUGUCGGUGGAAACUGUCUGGCUAGAGUCCGGAAGAGGAGAAUGGAAUUCCUGGUGUAGCGGUGAAAUGCGCAGAUAUCAGGAGGAACACCGAUGGCGAAGGCAGGUCUCUGGGCCACUACUGACGCUGAGAAGCGAAAGCAUGGGGAGCGAACAGG
rnacentral:rRNA from 1 species